rnacentral:pre_miRNA from 1 species
GCAGGAGGACGGGCAAGAAACUCUUUUGCCUGAGAAUCUGGCUUUGAGUUCUAGCCCGUCUAUCGUGC